rnacentral:rRNA from 1 species
ACAAAUGCCCUGCUUCCAGGAAAAGCCUCUAAGCAUCAGGUAACAUCAAAUCGUACCCCAAACCGACACAGGUGGUCAGGUAGAGAAUACCAAGGCGCUUGAGAGAACUCGGGUGAAGGAACUAGGCAAAAUGGUGCCGUAACUUCGGGAGAAGGCACGCUGAUAUGUAGGUGAAGCGACUUGCUCGUGGAGCUGAAAUCAGUCGAAGAUACCAGCUGGCUGCAACUGUUUAUUAAAAACACAGCACUGUGCAAACACGAAAGUGGACGUAUACGGUGUGACGCCUGCCCGGUGCCGGAAGGUUAAUUGAUGGGGUUAGCGGUAACGCGAAGCUCUUGAUCGAAGCCCCGGUAAACGGCGGCCGUAACUAUAACGGUCCUAAGGUAGCGAAAUUCCUUGUCGGGUAAGUUCCGACCUGCACGAAUGGCGUAAUGAUGGCCAGGCUGUCUCCACCCGAGACUCAGUGAAAUUGAACUCGCUGUGAAGAUGCAGUGUACCCGCGGCAAGACGGAAAGACCCCGUGAACCUUUACUAUAGCUUGACACUGAACAUUGAGCCUUGAUGUGUAGGAUAGGUGGGAGGCUUUGAAGUGUGGACGCCAGUCUGCAUGGAGCCGGCCUUGAAAUACCACCCUUUAAUGUUUGAUGUUCUAACGUUGGCCCCUGAUCGGGGUUGCGGACAGUGUCUGGUGGGUAGUUUGACUGGGGCGGUCUCCUCCUAAAGAGUAACGGAGGAGCACGAAGGUUGGCUAAUCCUGGUCGGACAUCAGGAGGUUAGUGCAAUGGCAUAAGCCAGCUUGACUGCGAGCGUGACGGCGCGAGCAGGUGCGAAAGCAGGUCAUAGUGAUCCGGUGGUUCUGAAUGGAAGGGCCAUCGCUCAACGGAUAAAAGGUACUCCGGGGAUAACAGGCUGAUACCGCCCAAGAGUUCAUAUCGACGGCGGUGUUUGGCACCUCGAUGUCGGCUCAUCACAUCCUGGGGCUGAAGUAGGUCCCAAGGGUAUGGCUGUUCGCCAUUUAAAGUGGUACGCGAGCUGGGUUUAGAACGUCGUGAGACAGUUCGGUCCCUAUCUGCCGUGGGCGCUGGAGAACUGAGGGGGGCUGCUCCUAGUACGAGAGGACCGGAGUGGACGCAUCACUGGUGUUCGGGUUGUCAUGCCAAUGGCACUGCCCGGUAGCUAAAUGCGGAAGAGAUAAGUGCUGAAAGCAUCUAAGCACGAAACUUGCCCCGAGAUGAGUUCUCCCUGAGACUUUAAGUCUCCUGAAGGAACGUUGAAGACGACGACGUUGAUAGGCCGGGUGUGUAAGCGCAGCGAUGCGUUGAGCUAACCGGUACUAAUGAACCGUGAGGCUUAACCUUACAACGCCGAAGGUGUUU